UACGGGGGGGGCAAGCGUUGUCCGGAAUCAUUGGGCGUAAAGCGCGCGUAGGUGGCCUCAUAAGUCCGCUGUGAAAGUCAAAGGCUCAACCUUUGAAAGCCGGUGGAUACUGUGAGGCUAGAGUACGGAAGAGGCGAGUGGAAUUCCUGGUGUAGCGGUGGAAUGCGCAGAUAUCAGGAGGAACACCAAUAGCGAAGGCAGCUCGCUGGGACGUUACUGACACUGAGGCGCGAAAGCGUGGGGAGCGAACAGG
rnacentral:rRNA from 1 species